UACGGAGGGUGCGAGCGUUGUCCGGAAUCACUGGGCGUAAAGGGCGCGUAGGCGGCGCGGAAAGUCAACGGUGAAAGCUCGGGGCUCAACCCCGAGUCGGCCGUCGAUACUUCUGUGCUUGAGCACUGUAGAGGCAGGUGGAAUUCCGGGUGUAGCGGUGGAAUGCGUAGAGAUCCGGAAGAACACCGGUGGCGAAGGCGGCCUGCUGGGCAGUAGCUGACGCUGAUGCGCGACAGCGUGGGGAGCAACAGG
rnacentral:rRNA from 1 species